UACAGAGACUGCAAGCGUUAUUCGGAUUCACUGGGCGUAAAGGGUGCGCAGGCGGCCGGGUGUGUCAGAUGUGAAAUCCCGAGGCUCAACCUCGGAACUGCGUCUGAAACUACUCGGCUAGAGUACUGGAGAGGGUAACGGAAUUCACGGUGUAGCAGUGAAAUGCGUAGAGAUCGGGAGGAACACCAAAGGCGAAAGCACUCUGCUGGGCCACAACUGACACUGAGAGACGAAAGCGAGGGGAGCAAAAGGG
rnacentral:rRNA from 1 species